GCUUUCAAGACAGUGAAAUGACAUUAGUAUGCCAUUAGGAAGCAAUACACCUAAGAUUUGAAAUUAAGACCCAUAAAAGUGGUUAUCAAUAUUUAUAAGAUAAACAGAACCAAUGCAAACGGACAACACUCCUCCAAACGGGGCUCAGCGUUGCAUAUCUACAGUAACAGUGGGAGCUGCUAAGGAAUUUUAAAACGGCGCUCCAGUGGUAUCAGCCGAAUAGGUUUAAGCUAGGUUUAAUUAAGACACAAAACUGAAUAGAACUGGAGCCAAUUAAAAGAUCACCAAAAGAUCUCAACAAACUGUUCCAAGAAAUUCUCCUUCUCACUCUAAUGUAAAACUUGGGAGUUCUGCUGCCAGCCGCUCCAAUGGGAAGACAUGCCGGUGGAUCCAGCUCCCUGCUUCUCAAACGUGGAACGUAACUCAUUAUUCCUGCCACUCGUGAUAUUCAGCUCCCAUGCCGCUAGAAACCUAAAGGAAAGAGGAGGCAAAUCUUGCUGGGUAAAAGCUACAACAGGUGAUUGUACCUGUUCUUAGGCAGGAUGGACAGGCAAGCAGCAUUAUGGUCUCAAAUCUAACUCACAACGCAGCAUGAUAUCGAAGAUAAUAUCUGCACUGAUUGAAUAGGUUUCCUGCUGCAGGGAAAUGCUUGUUGACAUGCAGGUAUGCACAGUAAUCCAAGAUUAUAAAAAACAUGGACAAAGGCAAAUACUUGUGGGGAGGCUGGUUUUCAAAGAAAAAGCAAUAAGUCUACCUAUUAAGUAUAGGCAUAGCUACGUAUUCUGAAAGAGCCUCAAACGGAUCAAGGUUUCAUCUCAGUGGCAAGGCUUAAUGUUUUGUAAAACACUAAAGGUACAGUCCAAAUUUCCUGUGCAAACGCAUCUCCCUCUAUGUACCAUCGUGGAGAUUAAGAUCCUCCGGGGAGGCCCUGCUUUUCAUCCCGCCAUUGUCACAGGUGGGGACGAGGGACAGCGCCUUCUCGGUGAUUGCUCCCCAGCUAUGGAACUCCCUUCCUUGUGAGAUCAGGUUGGCCCCCUCCCUCCUGU